CAGGGUGCUGCAUGGCUGUCGUCAGCUCGUGUCGUGAGAUUGUUCGGUUAACGUCCGCUAACGAGCGCAACCCUCGCUGUGUGUUACAAGUGUCACACGGUACUGCCGGUCUUAAGCCGGAGGAAGGUGGGGAUGACGUCAAGUCAGCAUGGCCUUUAUGUCCUGGGCUACACACACGCUACAAUGGCCAACACAAUAGGUUGCUAAGCCGCGAGGUGGAGCCAAUCCUCAAAGUUGGUCUCAGUUCAGAUUGCAGGCUGCAACCCGCCUGCAUGAAGAUGGAGUUGCUAGUAACCGCAGGUCAGCUAUACUGCGGUGAAUACGUUCCCGGGGCUU
rnacentral:rRNA from 1 species